GACUACAUUACCCACAAUUCUGAGGGGCGCUGUUGGAUGCGCCAAUCAGAGACAACAGAGGAAUCGUGGGAAGGAACAGACUUCCAGGCGCGAAAUUCAACCUUUCCGCCUUUUACAUGAUCAUUUCUCUGUAUACGCACUCUUCAUUAAAUGUUUAGCAUAAUGCCGGGUUUACUGCAAGAUCUGCGGAAACUGCUCGAAAACGGACGAUCCAGGAAACAACACUUAAAACUGAUAAAGUGGCUCCAGAAAAGACAACUACUUAAAAGAAAAAUGAAAUGUAGCAAGUGCAGACACAAAAUGUCACUGAAACCCAGGACGAUGGCAAGAGAUCACUAUGCAUGGAUGUGUCAGCGUGCAAGGCACAGAAGUGAGAGCAUCAUGAAAGCCAUCCGUUUUAAGUCAAUAUUCAGCCACUCCAAAAAUUCCCUAUUUGAAUGGAUGAAGUUCUUAUACAGGUUUUCACAAGGUCUGCGGCUUCGACAGAUUGAUAUGAUUCAUGAUGGUAUUGCCGGAAGCUCUGCUACCUUAACGAAUAUGGCAAAAAAAGUGAGAGAUGUCUGUGUUACAGCAAUGGAAAGAUUGAGAAGAAGAAAGGGACAGCGCCUCGGAGGACAAAGAGAGUUUGUUGUGAUUGAUGAAAGUCACUUUAGACACAAAAGAAAGUUCUGCCGGCUGCUCCGCCAUCUUGGGAGGCUCAUACUCCACUGUUAUUAUUGUUUUCACAUGUAACGUUACUUGGUUUGUUGGAUAUAUGGAGAAAUUGAAAGUGAAACUACCAGCGCCUUUGCCAGAACGACUCCGUGUAAUGAGCGAACAUGAGAGCACCCGACUGCAGACGUCAAUAAUGCAGCGUAAUGGAAUAAUCUCCCGAUCAAACUCCGCUUCCCGAAAGUUAUAAACUGCCUCCGGAACCCAGUUAAGGUACAAAAAUCUAUUCAACAAAAAUAGUGAUGCACGCAGUGAAGUCUUUUUUCGCUCAGCCGAGCCUUCUCUGUUGCUGUGUGGAGCAGCCUGUGUCAGUCACCUCUUUUACCCCCCACCCCCCCGACUCCUGAAUGUCACUCACUCACUCACUCAUGCGGGCAUGCACUGCGGUCUCAUGAGAAAACGCAGCUUUUUGAUAUAAAGUUUUUCUUGUUCCCGAAUACAAAUAUUUUUUUAAGUAUUUGUUCGAAAUCAGUAUUAGUAAAAAACACGCUAUUUGUGCCUUUCCG